CGCCGUGAGACGGAGUCUGAAAGAAGUCGGAUGCGGAGACUUAAAAGUGUCUCUGCGGGCAAAGCCUCGGUCUGACGAACAGAAACUGCAUAUAAGGCAUACUUGAAACGGACGAGUUUCCUAUUCAAAACGAAGUCCAAUACUGCCCGAAUUUCAAGGUGUAAAUGCAGCAGAUAUAUGAGGUGAAGGUGA
rnacentral:ncRNA from 1 species